rnacentral:sRNA from 1 species
CUUGUAUGAAAACAUCUUUGUACGUAACAAAAAAAUGAAAGGAAGAAACGGAAAGGAACAAAAAAA